rnacentral:tRNA from 1 species
CGGGGCGUAGCGCAGCUCGGUAGCGCACUGCGUUCGGGACGCAGGGGUCGGAGGUUCAAAUCCUCUCGCCCCGACCA